UUUGGGUGGAAUUUGGGAUUUUUUUUAAAAUUCGGUUUUGGUGGAUUUUGGUGAACUUUGGGAGUUUUCGUUCGGGAUUUUGGGUGAAAUUCGGGAUUUUCCAUCCAGGGAUCUUCACGGUGGAGCUCGGGGAGCGUCACACGAAAAUCGGGGAGCUCACGGCUGAUGUGGAAAUCUUCAGCAAAAAGCUCCACGAACACGAGGCCGAGCUGGAGGCCCGGGACUGCCGGAUCCGUGA